UUGGAGGGCAAGUCUGGUGCCAGCAGCCGCGGUAAUUCCAGCUCCAAUAGCGUAUAUUAAAGUUGUUGCAGUUAAAAAGCUCGUAGUUGAAUUUCGGGAUCAAAUUGUCGGUCGUGCCUCGGUACGCACUGGUAUUAUUGGUUCCUACCUUCUGAAGAACCGCGAUGUCAUUAAUUUGGUGUCGUGGGGAAUCAGGACUGUUACUUUGAAAAAAUUAGAGUGUUUAAAGCAGGCUUACGCUUGAAUACAUUAGCAUGGAAUAAUGAAAUAGGACGUUUGAUUCUAUUUUGUUGGUCUCUAGGAUUGACGUAAUGAUUAAUAGGGAUAGUUGGGGGCAUUAGUAUUCAAUUGUCAGAGGUGAAAUUCUUGGAUUCAUUGAAGACUAACUACUGCGAAAGCAUUUGCCAAGGAUGUUUUCAUUAAUCAAGAACGAAAGUUAGGGGAUCGAAGACGAUCAGAUACCGUCGUAGUCUUAACCAUAAACUAUGCCGACUAGGGAUCGGAUGAUGUUAAUUUUUUAAUGACUCAUUCGGCGCCUUACGGGAAACCAAAGUGUUUGGGUUC
rnacentral:rRNA from 1 species